UACGUAGGGUGCGAGCGUUGUCCGGAAUUAUUGGGCGUAAAGAGCUUGUAGGCGGUUUGUCGCGUCUGCUGUGAAAUCUCAAGGCUCAACCUUGAGCUUGCAGUGGGUACGGGCAGACUAGAGUGUGGUAGGGGAGACUGGAAUUCCUGGUGUAGCGGUGAAAUGCGCAGAUAUCAGGAGGAACACCAAUAGCGAAGGCAGCUCGCUGGGACGGUAUUGACGCUAAGGGCGCGAAAGCGUGGGGAGCAAACAGG
rnacentral:rRNA from 1 species